GGACGGGUGAGUAAUAUAUCGGAACGUACCAGAAGUGGGGAUAACGCAGCGAAAGUUGCGCUAAUACCGAUACGAUCUACGGAUGAAGUAGGGGACCUUGCAAGGCUUAUUGGCUUUUGGAGCGGCCGAUAUCUGAUUAGUAGUUGGUGAAGGUAAGGCUCACCAAGGCAUCGAUUCAGUAGCUGGUCUGAGAGGACGACCAGCCACACUGGAACUGAGAACACGGUCCAGAACUCCUACGGGAGGCAGCAGUGGGGAAUUUUGGACAAUGGGGGCAACCCUGAUCCAGCAAUGCCGCGUGAGUGAAGAAGGCCUUCGGGUUGUAAAGCUCUUUUGUCCGGGAAGAAACGGUGAUCUCUAAUAUAGAUUACUAAUGACGGUACCGGAAGAAUAAGCACCGGCUAACUACGUGCCAGCAGCCGCGGUAAUACGUAGGGUGCAAGCGUUAAUCGGAAUUACUGGGCGUAAAGCGUGCGCAGGCGGUUAUGUAAGUCAGCUGUGAAAUCCCCGGGCUUAACCUGGGAAUGGCAGUUGAGACUGCAUGGCUAGAGUGUGUCAGAGGGGGGUAGAAUUCCACGUGUAGCAGUGAAAUGCGUAGAGAUGUGGAGGAAUACCGAUGG
rnacentral:rRNA from 1 species